AGUGAACGCUGGCGGUAGGCCUAACACAUGCAAGUCGAACGGCAGCACAGUAAGAGCUUGCUCUUACGGGUGGCGAGUGGCGGACGGGUGAGGAGUACAUCGGAAUCUACUUUUUCGUGGGGGAUAACGUAGGGAAACUUACGCUAAUACCGCAUACGACCUACGGGUGAAAGCAGGGGAUCUUCGGACCUUGCGCGAUUGAAUGAGCCGAUGUCGGAUUAGCUAGUUGGCGGGGUAAAGGCCCACCAAGGCGACGAUCCGUAGCUGGUCUGAGAGGAUGAUCAGCCACACUGGAACUGAGACACGGUCCAGACUCCUACAGGAGGCAGCAGUGGGGAAUAUUGGACAAUGGGCGCAAGCCUGAUCCAGCCAUACCGCGUGGGUGAAGAAGGCCUUCGGGUUGUAAAGCCCUUUUGUUGGGAAAGAAAAGCAGCAGGUUAAUACCCCGCUGUUCUGACGGUACCCAAAGAAUAAGCACCGGCUAACUUCGUG
rnacentral:rRNA from 1 species